UACGUAGGGUGCAAGCGUUGAUCGGAAUUACUGGGCGUAAAGCGUGCGCAGGCGGUUGUGCAAGACAGAUGUGAAAUCCCCGGGCUUAACCUGGGAACUGCAUUUGUGACUGCACGGCUAGAGUGUGUCAGAGGGGGGUAGAAUUCCACGUGUAGCAGUGAAAUGCGUAGAGAUGUGGAGGAAUACCGAUGGCGAAGGCAGCCCCCUGGGAUAACACUGACGCUCAUGCACGAAAGCGUGGGGAGCAAACAGG
rnacentral:rRNA from 1 species